GGGUCAGAACAGGACCCUACCCUGGAGACUAUAAAAUGACCAAAGAGCAGGGAAGGGAGGGGCACUCAUCUUUGGAAAAUGUAGUCAGUUCUAUUCUGCAAAGCCUUCCAUUUACUUCUUAUGACCAGCCCCUUUAUUCAACAACCAUCAAUAACAACAGCAAUGGAAGGAACGACCUGAGGCUUAGAACAGACUGA
rnacentral:lncRNA from 1 species